CUGAACGAAAUGGGUGGCAAGGCUGUCGCUGGCUCUAAUGAGCAUGUGCACGUCUUUUGCUGCUUGCUUCAUUCUCUUUUUCCACCUGUGCACUCUUUGUAGACACUCGGGAUGGGAGAGAGGUUGGCAUCGAAUGUUGACCUCUCUUGAUAUUGAAAAGUCUGGGUGUUUUUUCACAUACACAAGUUAAAUGUCUAUAGAAUGAAAUUGUAGGCUUUUGUCAGCCUUUUAAAUGAUAAAAUA
rnacentral:misc_RNA from 1 species